AUUGAACGCUGGCGGCAUGCCUUACACAUGCAAGUCGAACGGCAGCACGGGAGCUUGCUCCUGGUGGCGAGUGGCGAACGGGUGAGUAAUGCAUCGGAACGUGCCCUGAAGUGGGGGAUAACGUAGCGAAAGUUACGCUAAUACCGCAUAUUCUGUGAGCAGGAAAGCAGGGGAUCUUCGGACCUUGCGCUUUUGGAGCGGCCGAUGUCGGAUUAGCUAGUUGGUGGGGUAAAGGCCCACCAAGGCAACGAUCCGUAGCGGGUCUGAGAGGAUGAUCCGCCACACUGGAACUGAGACACGGUCCAGACUCCUACGGGAGGCAG
rnacentral:rRNA from 1 species